rnacentral:rRNA from 1 species
AGAACGAACGCUGGCGGCAGGCUUAACACAUGCAAGUCGAACGCGUGUAGCAAUACACGAGUGGCGCACGGGUGAGUAACGCGUGGAUAUCUGCCUUUUGGUUCGGAAUAACCCCGGGAAACUGGGGCUAAUACCGGAUGGUUCCUACGGGAUAAAGAUUUAUCGCCAAAAGAUGAGUUCGCGGCCUAUCAGCUAGUUGGUGGGGUAACGGCCCACCAAGCCUGUGAUCCGUAGCUGGUCUGAGAGGAUGAUCAGCCACACUGGGACUGAGACACGGCCCAGACUCCUACGGGAGGCAGCAGUGGGGAAUAUUGGACAAUGGGCGCAAGCCUGAUCCAGCAAUGCCGCGUGAGUGAUGGAGGCCGUUUAGGGUUAGUAAAGUCUCGUUUCCGCCCGCGACGAUGAUGACGGUAGCGGAGAGACGCCCGCUACUCGUGCAGCAGCCGC